rnacentral:lncRNA from 15 species
AUGGAUCAAGCCACAAUAGACAGUCUUCGCGGACUUAUCCAACAGAGCCUGGAGAAGCUGAAAACCAUACAGUUGUCGAAGCUGCAAGGCAGGUCUCUAGACAUCACAUCAGAGGAUGUAAUUACUGAAUUGUGUGUGGAUAUUGUAAAUAUUUUAUGCAUACAAAUUCAUGAGGCAUUUCAACGGAGCAAAGUUGAGGGGAGACACACUUCCAAAUCUUCAAAAAGCUCUUCUGGGUCUGCCAGAUCACAGGGCAGCAUAUCUGAAGAAGACGUUCGUAGUUUUCUGGGUGACGCAGUUUUCCUAGCCUUUAAGGAGGCAACCGGGGUCGGCAACAUCAGCCGAAGCGUGGAGAAGGUAACCAGCGCUGUGGUUACUGAGGUCACCGAGAGAGUAAAUGAGCUCGCCAAUGCCUCUGGAAGUUUUGGAGGCAGCAAUAAAUGGAAAAGUCCUCCCGUCUCAUGCUCAUUCACGCUCAGACUGAAGACCAUGGUCCGACAUGUAGCGAGAAUGUUGAAAAACUGCACUGGUGAGGAGGGCACCACGCCAAUUGGAACCGGGGAGUCAUGGCAGACCCCCGUAGUUCCCUUUGUGGAUGAGACGGACAUGCUGCCGAUAACGAGCUUCAUCAUCGAAACAACAGAAGCUGUGAAGAAUAUCCUGCAGGAACAGGCAAAAAGCAUUACCCCGAUUAGUUAUAACGUUAAGAUUUCCGAUGAAGAGUGCCGAGUGUUUGAGUCCGGCUCCUCCGAGGACACAAACGAGAUGGCUAUUGCGAUAGUCAAAGAAAUAAUUGAAGACCUUCAAAUCGAAUCAGAUGGUUCACUGCCGAAAUCAGUGGCCGAAUCUGUAAAGAUAUCCUGUUGGAAAUCACUGGGAGAUAAACUUAAGGGCUUUUUUGCGGUAAGAUUUGCUAUGGGGUCACUACUAGGUUUUGUGACAAAACUGAGGCGUAAAUACAAUUGCGUCUCAGAACAAAAGAGGUCUCUGAGCCAGCUAAUGGAGGAGGCUGAUCUGGUGGUGAAGACCAUCAUCUCAUUAAAUGAAGAGGACAUAAAUAAGGGCACUGACGACGAGUGCCCCUACGAGAGAAUCGCAGAGGUAAUAUCUAGUGGACAACACAACAUGGCCGCCAUUGAGCUUGGUGAUAUUGUCUCACAGCAUCUGAAGCAGGACCCCUCUCCGGACUUCAGGUUUGAAAUACAAGGAGAAGUUGACACCUUUAUGAGGCAGAUAUGCAACUGGGUCAACCGGCAGCUAAAGCUCCACAAGAAAAAGGGGGACCAUGCAAGUCUGGCUGUGAAGGAAAUCAGGGGAGUAGUCAGCCAGCAAUCACUCACAGAGGUCCCCUCAGUCAUAGAAAGUGGCUGUGUGACACCUGUGUCAAGAUCAGCUUCUACUGCUCUGGAGAUCGCUGUAAGUGUUGAGGCUAGUGACACGUUGGUGGUUGAACCAGAACCACAUUCCACCCCCAUACAGUCCGUCAAGUCGGCAAUUGGAGAUGCAGCUAGGGACACUUUGGUGGUUGAAGCUGAACCACUUGCCAACCCCGUUCAGUCCUUUGAGUCACUUAUCAGAGACGAAGCUGGUGACAGUUUGGUGGUUGAAGCAGAACCACCUUCCACCCCCGUUCUGUCCGUGGUGUCCCCAAUCCGAGAGAAGUCUGGGGACACUUGGGUUGCAGUAGAACCACCUCCCAUCCCUGUUCAGUCCGUGGUGUCCCCCAUCAGAGAUGAGGCUGGUGAAGCUCUAGGUGAGACCACAACACCAGCACCCCAUCAGUGGGAUGAAAUGAGCUGCAAGGUUAUGGCCAUUGCACUGUUUCAAAAAGUCAUGAAAAGUCAGAUACAUCUGAAUGUUAGUCUGACUUGCAAAGAUAUUGAAACAAUCAGCGGGACACUGGGGAAGUUGCUUUGGGAACAGAUCGCAGGAUCUGACAUUGCUGUCAAGCCAAGCGGCCACCAUAUCAAAAGGGUGGCAAAGGCGGUGCGCAAGGAGUUGUGCAAGGAGACAGGUGACAAAGGGAUCUUACAGAUGUGCCUGCUGUCUCGGGAUGUAUCUAUUUACAGAUACAUAACUGAGACACUGAAAAAACAUCUGGUGAUGCCAGAGAAGAAGACUGGCGUGAACGCAUUCUUCUCACGUCUCUUAAAGACCGUGGGCAAGCCAUUCACCGCCUGCUUUGGACGCAAAGAGUAA